AGAUUUUAAUCACACUUUUGUCAGGAGUCUUUGUCUUUGAUUGCAAGUCUGUGCUGUAAGUCUGACUGUAAUUUUAUUUUAUUCUUCAAGUGCUGUGGGGAGACGCCGUAUGGUUUGGCUCAAAGUGGAGUUCUCUGCUGCAACAGUAAGCUACACGCCGGCGUAAAUGACACGCAGCGAUGUGCAGAGGCCAGCUUUGAUUACGACGCAGCUACGUAUACGGUUUGCUGCUCGAAGGUACACCGGCCAGCCGGGCAGCACUGCUGCGGCACAGACGUCUACGAUCCUCACACUCAGAUCUGCUGCAGCGGAUGCAAGCAUCCCAAAGGCAGAAACAUUCAUUGCUGUGGACGUCAGGCCUACAACAUUAGCAACCCGUUGAUCAAGUGCUGUUCUGAGACGCUGCACGACCUGACAAAUUUAGACGAACAUAAACGUGAUGCGCAGUGUUGUGGAUCUAUUCUGAAAGACCCAGCGGUGAAGAUUUAAAGAGGUCAGUGAACAGGUGAAUGCUGCUUGAGUGAGGAGAUGGAGCUGUUGUACAGGACCAAGCCAAAGCACCAGUGCUGCGGACACAAGUACUAUAACACAUCUCU